GCUGGGCGUGGUGGCGUGUGCCUGUAGUCCCAGCUACUUGGGAGGCUGAGGCAGGAGAAUCGCUUGAACCCAGGAGACGGAGCUUGCAGUGAGCUGAGAUAACGCCACUGUACUCCAGCCUGGCAACAGAGUGAGACUCUGUCUCAAAAAAAAAAAGCAAGGACUCAGGCUCUCUCUUUUUUUUUUUCUUUUUGAGAUGGAGUUUCUUUUUUAUUUUUUAUUUUUGAGAUGGAGUCUCACUCUGUCGCCCAGGCUGGAGUGCGAUGGCGCAAUCUCAGCUCACCAAAAGCUCUGCCUCCCGGGUUCACCCCAUUCUCCUGCCUCCG
rnacentral:sRNA from 1 species